rnacentral:rRNA from 1 species
AGAGUUUGAUUCUGGCUCAGGAUGAACGCUGGCGGCGUGCUUAACACAUGCAAGUCGAACGGACUCAUAUUGAAACCUAGUGAUGUAUGAGUUAGUGGCGGACGGGUGAGUAACGCGUGGAGAACCUGCCGUAUACUGGGGGAUAACACUUAGAAAUAGGUGCUAAUACCGCAUAAGCGCACAGCUUCGCAUGAAGCAGUGUGAAAAACUCUGGUGGUAUACGAUGGAUCCGCGUCUGAUUAGCUAGUUGGCGGGGUAAAGGCCCACCAAGGCGACGAUCAGUAGCCGGCCUGAGAGGGUGAACGGCCACAUUGGGACUGAGACACGGCCCAAACUCCUACGGGAGGCAGCAGUGGGGAAUAUUGCCCCAUGGGGGAAACCCUGAUGCAGCGACGCCGCGUGAGUGAAGAAGUAUUUCGGUACGUAAAGCUCUAUCAGCAGGGAAGAAAAAAAGUCCUUUGGACUUUGGACGGUACCUGACUAAGAAGCCCCGGCUAACU